rnacentral:tRNA from 1 species
GGGCCGAUAGCUCAGCUGGGAGAGCGCUGCGUUCGCAAUGCAGAGGUCGGGAGUUCGAUCCUCAGAGGUCGGGAGUUCGAUCCUCCUUCGGUCCACCA